UAAAUCCCGAAAUUAUAAGAGAUAAAUAUUUAGAUUAUUUUAAUGUAAUAAAUUUAUAAAUUACUAAUAUUUAGGGGUUAUAUGCUAUUCAUUUAUAAAUAUCUGGUUCUUUGAGAAUUGAAUUUAAUUCAGCCAUAAUAGAUUAUGAAAAUUAUUUUAUUUUUGUUAAUUUUUAUGUUAAUAUUUAAGGGGACAAGCUCUUAUAAUAUAUUUAUAAAUGAUAAAAUUAUUAAAUUUAGUAGGAUUAACAAUUUCUUUCUAUUAUUUUGUUAUAAUUAUUUUUAUUUUUUAAUUUAAUUUAUUACUAUUUUAAAUUUUUAUCAAAGUAUAUUUAUUAAAUAAACUAAUAAUAGGAAUAAUGAUAAAAUUAGUAUAAUUAUUAUUAUGUAAAUAGUAACUUGGCAAUUAUAAUAUUCACCUGUUUAACAAAAACAUGUCCUAGUGAUACAUAUUUAUAUUAGGUCGGGCCUGCUCAGUGAUUUAUUUAACAGCUGCAGUAAUUUGACUGUGCAAAGGUAGCAUAAUCAUUUGUCUUUUAAUUGAAGGCUGGUAUGAAUGGUUUGAUGAAAUAUUAACUUUCUUUUUAUUUAAUUUUUGAAUUUAAUUUUUAUGUGAAAAAGCAUAGAUUAUGUUGUAGGACGAGAAGACCCUAUAGAAUUUUAAUUUAGUUUAUUUUAUAUUAUUUAUGGAUAUUAUAAAUCUUUAAUAUUAAUUAUAUUUUUGUUGGGGUGACAGGAAAAUUUAUUUAACUUUUUCUUUUUAAUUUUUAUUCUUCCAUAUAUUAAUUAUCCUAAUUAUAGAUUACAAGAUUAAAUUACCUUAGGGAUAACAGCGUAAUUUUAUUGGAGAGUUCUUAUCGAUAAUAAAGUUUGCGACCUCGAUGUUGGAUUAAAAUUAGGGAUUGGUGUAGCAGUUAAUCUUCUAGGUCUGUUCGACCUUUAAAUUUUUACAUGAUCUGAGUUCAGACCGGCGUAAGCCAGGUUGGUUUCUAUCCUCAAUUAUAUAUUAUACUUUAGUACGAAAGGACCAAAUAUGAUAAAGAUUUUAUA
rnacentral:rRNA from 1 species